AAGCCCAUUAAGAAUACAGCCCGCCAGACUACAGAAGGGGAAAUCAAAAACCGCGAGCGGGAAUUCAAGCGGAUUCUCUUCUCCCCUGCAGUCGGCGCCGUUGGUGUUGUAUACUUUUGGGGAUGAAUCAGAAAUUCGGGGGAGGGAGGCGGCCCACCGGCACUCCUUCGUUGGCUUGGUCGUCCGUCGUUGUUGUCGUUUCGCUUCUCGCUGGGGCCUCCGUUGUCCACAAUCUCUACAAGCCAGAUCUCACGCUGCCUCCUGUGGAUGGUGUAAACGGGAGCAAGGAGGGGAAGCAACCUGAGAAAGAAUGAAAUGGAUCACUUCUUCCUCCUAGUUUUUCUGCUUUGCAAAAAUUCAAUUGCUUUUGCUUUUAAUCUUAAUGCACUUUAAUAUGUGAAUUAUGGUGUAAGUUAGCUAGCUAGAAGAGAAGGAGGAGCCGCCACUCCCAUGGCUUUCUUUCGUUGUUGCGUGUGAUUGAACUUUUCUUUUUAAUAAAUUGACUUUCUUCUGAUUCAAA